rnacentral:rRNA from 1 species
GUUAUAUGGUCAAGCGAAUAAGCGCACAUGGUGGAUGCCUUGGCGGUCAGAGGCGAUGAAGGACGUGGUAGCCUGCGAAAAGUGUCGGGGAGCUGGCAACAAGCUUUGAUCCGGCAAUAUCCGAAUGGGGGAACCCACUGUUUAGGCAGUAUCUUUGAGUAAAUUCAUAGCUCAAGGAGGCGAACCUGGUGAACUGAAAUAUCUAAGUAACCAGAGGAAAAGAAAUCAACAGAGAUUCCCUGAGUAGUGACGAGCGAACGGGGAUUAGCCCUUAAGCUAGUAUGGUUUUAGGAAAGCAAUCUGGGAAGGUUGGCCAUAGAAGGUGAUAGCCCUGUAUCCGAAAGGGCCGUACUAGUGAAGAUGAGUAGGACGGGGCACGUGAAACCUUGUCUGAAUAUGGGGGGUCCAUCCUCCAAGGCUAAAUACUCCUGACCGACCGAUAGUGAACUAGUACCGUGAGGGAAAGGCGAAAAGAACCCCGGAGAGGGGAGUGAAAUAGAACCUGAAACCAUGUGCGUACAAGCAGUAGGAGCCCUUAUGGGUGACUGCGUACCUUUUGUAUAAUGGGUCAGCGACUUACUGUUCGUGGCGAGCUUAACCGUAUAGGGGAGGCGAAGGGAAACCGAGUCUGAUAAGGGCGCAUAGUCGCGGGCAGUAGACCCGAAACCGGGUGAUCUAGUCAUGUCCAGGGUGAAGGUGCUGUAACAGGUACUGGAGGCCCGAACCCACUCCCGUUGCAAAGGUAGGGGAUGAGGCGUGAUUAGGAGUGAAAAGCUAAUCGAACCCGGAGAUAGCUGGUUCUCCUCGAAAGCUAUUUAGGUAGCGC